rnacentral:rRNA from 1 species
UACAGAGGGGGCAAGCGUUGUUCGGAAUUACUGGGCGUAAAGGGCGCGUAGGCGGCCUUCUAAGUCGAACGUGAAAUCCCUGGGCUCAACCCAGGAACUGCGUCCGAUACUGAAAGGCUUGAAUCCGGGAGAGGGAUGCGGAAUUCCAGGUGUAGCGGUGAAAUGCGUAGAUAUCUGGAGGAACACCGGUGGCGAAGGCGGCAUCCUGGACCGGUAUUGACGCUGAGGCGCGAAAGCCAGGGGAGCAAAGC